rnacentral:sRNA from 1 species
ACACGUCCAAUACCGCGGGGUAUCAAUCAGCGCGUGCGUCGCAUGAUGAGCAGAAGUGGCCGCACGCACGUUGCGUUCGCUUCGUCAGCUGUGACGCAUGCACACACGCAUGCCGUGCAAGCGCGUACACCUGCAUGC